CAUCAUUAGCAAACCAAAUUCGAAUUAUUAAAACUUCAUCUGAAUUUCAAGCGUUUUUUUAAGAAAACAAAGCAAGAAGAAAAUGGCUGACAACUCUCAGAAGAUGAGCUACCACGCUGGAGAGGCCAAGGGCCAAGCUCAGGUAAUUAGCUCACCUAUUAUUCUCCAUUUGUUUUUGCUUAUUUAUUCUGUUUCCAUUAAAUAUAUUAUAUUUAUAUGUGAAUGUGCAUUGAGAUUGAUGUGGGGUGUUUUGUAUUGGAUAAUUUUGGAUUUAACAGGAGAAGGCCAGUGGGAUGAUGGAUAUGGCUAACAAUGCAGCCCAAUCUACCAAGGAGACAAUGCAAGAUGCUGGUCAGAAUGUGCAGGCCAAGGCUCAGGGAGCUGCUGAUGCAGUCAAGAAUGCCACUGGCAUGAACAAAUGAAUCUGCUCAUGAUGAUAAUCAUUUUCAUGACUUUUAAUGACUUUAUAGAUGAUAAAACUUUGAUUGAGUUUUUUUUUUUUUUUUUUGGUCGAACUUUGAUUUUUGUAGACUUUUAUGUAAUUUGUUUUUCUUUCUUACCUUCCAUUUCGAUGAAGGAAUUGAAAAUUGCAUAGAAUUCUAAAAUAACACAAUUUAGAUUUCAAUUGGUUUAAUUUAUGUCAAUUAAUAAUUUCGGUGUUCGAAUUUAUGUAUGUCGAAUUUUGCAAAAAACAGAAAUUUCAGGGAAAACGAAUUUCUUCCACUCAAUAGAAAUGGUGAAACGUUUCUUUUGGUUGAAAUUAAACUCGGAAAUUUUGAGUGCUUAAGUUUCGUACUUAAGUUGCCAAACAAUGGAAAUAUCAAAUCAUACUCUUCAAUUCCUGACUUUUACCUAAACCCCGAGUUAUUUUCGUCCAUCUAAAUAGAGGGUAACAGAGUAGUAUCGACUUCUAAAUAGUAUCGUUUGAUCAUGAUGAAUUAAGUCAUGAGAUCUAUAUAACCAAAAUAAUUAUUCACGUAGAGAUUGAUGAAAAUCAAUUAUGAAAAUGCCAAAGUAAUUGCAUUGUUUCUUCUAACAAAGAUAACAUGGUCCCCUUGUUGUUCUAGAGGACGUCAUAAAUAAAUUCUAAUCAUGGCAGUGUUUAUUCAAACUAGUAACAUAUCUAUUAUAACCAAACGUGUUGAGAUCCAAGUAUCACCUUUGCCCUAAGGUCUUUAAAGGCAGUUAAAUUAAAACAUGUAAAGAUCGCCUGACCAACAUCCAACCAAAAAAAAAAGAAGUGCAGUACCUCUCUUGUAUCUCGCAAAAGAAAAAAGAAGAUAGAAAUGAAUGGAAUGGUAAGGUACGAAGAAGAAGGAUGUUGGUUCAAUUUGGACGCCAGAACCACAAAUAGCAUUCGCCAACAACCUAUAGCUUCACAGAGUUAAUAUCAUAAAGUCAUUAGGAGUCUUUAGUGAGUUAGCAGACUUUUUUACCCACAAAAGUCCAUAAUUUUAUUUUUUUUAAUCAUUUAACGAAGUCAUUAAAAGUCAUUAACUUUUUUUUAAUACAACCAAACAUUAAUGACAUUUAAAAAGUUACAAUUGAAUAUAUUUACUUGUGAGAUUGAGACCCAAUUCGUUGGAUUUGAGACUCUUUCAUCUCUGAUUUCUAAAGGUCUUGUUUGGAAAUAUCCACCAGUUGACCAUACACAUUUAAAUGCACUCACGUCAAGAUACAAGACUCCAGAAAUCAGAGAUACAAGAUAAUCAAACCAACACAAAAAAAGACAUAAUGUGAAUGAACUUGGGAUACCUUUCAAGUAGAAAAACUCAUAUAGAGCUGGUGUAUGCAUUAUUUUUCUUGUAAUAAGUGGUCACAUAACUAAGCACGUGAAAGAAAGUAGUGUGCAUGAAAGAGCUGGUAUAUGCACUAUUUUUAUUGUUAUAAGCGGUCACAUAACUAAGCACAUGAAAGAAUAUAAUGUGCAUGAUGAUGUAUAAAAUUUGUUACACGUAAAAGGCACUUGUAAAAAAAAAAAAAAAAAAAAACUGAAGGACAAUAUCGCUUUUAACUCAUGUCGAGGAUAACCCAACAAUUUUAUAGAAUUUACUCAUAAGAUGUUCUGGCCUUUCAAUUAAAUAACAAUAUCUUAUGGAUUAUGGCAUAGUCUUGUGAAUUGUAAUUAAUUGAUAAUAUAAUCUAAUAUUACAAGACUCAACAUAUAUAACUGUCUCAAAACCCUCAGAAUAGCAAUUGCCGACAUGAAGAUAAGACUCAACAGCGUUCCUAGUCAAAAGGCUCACCCCAAGUUAUAGGGCGACACGUGUUAUAUAUGGUGUAAAACCAUGACCAGGAUGAAAUGUGUGCAUGGCAUCACACGUGUUGAGCAUUCAGCUGGUCCAAAAUCCUAUAUAAACCCCACCCAAUUGUGAGAUAUUCAUCAUCAGCAAAUUAAAUUUGAGUUAUAACAACUUCAUCUGAAUUUCAAGUGUUUUCAAGAAAACAAAACAAGAAGAAAAUGGCUGACAACUCUCAGAAGAUGAGCUACCACGCUGGAGAGGCCAAGGGCCAAGCUCAGGUAAUUAGCUCACCUGUAAAUUGUAAUUCUCAAUUUGCUUUUGCUUCUUUCUUCUGUUUCCUUUUAGAUUGAUGUGGGAUGUUUUGUAUUGGAUAAUUUUGGAUUUAACAGGAGAAGGCCGGUGGGAUGAUGGAUAAGGCUAACAAUGCAGCCCAGUCUACCAAGGAGACAAUGCAAGAUGUUGGUCAGAAUGUGCAGGCGAAGGCUCAAGGAGCUGCUGACGCAGUCAAGAAUGCCACUGGCAUGAACAAAUGAAGCUGCUCAUGAUGAUCAUUUUCAUGACUUUUAAUGACUUUAUAGGGUUAAGAUGAUGGCAAACUUUCAUUGAGUUUUAUAGACUUUUAUGUAAUUUUUUUUUCUUUCUUAUCCUUCUUUUGAAAGAAGGAAUUGAAAAUUGCAUAGAAUUCUAAAAUGAUGGAAUUUAGAUCUCCAUCAUUUUAAGUUACGGAAAUUAAUAAUUUCAGUGUUCGGAUUUAUGUAUGUCGAAUUUUGCAAAUGAAAUUUCAAGGAAAAACAAAUUCCUUCACUCAAUAGAAAUUGUGAAUGAUGUCUCUUUUGAUUGAAAUUAAACUCAAAAAUCUUGAGUGCUUAACUUUCGUGCUAAAGUAGCCAAACAAUGAAAAUAUUAAAUUCUAUGCUUCAGUUCUUAACUUUUAGCUAAAUAAUUAACGUAUGGUAAUAGCAGUAUGUAGUAUGACCAAAAGAAAACGAAUUCUAAUAUUAUCUUUUGAUCACGAUGAACUAACUCAUGAGAUCUAUAUAAACAAAAUAAUUAUUCAUGUAGAGAUUUGAUGAAUAUCAAUUAUGAAUUCGUUGGGUUAGAGACUUUUUCACCUCAGAUUUCUAAAGGUCUCAUUCUGGGCCUCGGUGCCUUAUGGCUUUUUGAAAUAUCCACCAAGUUGACCAAACACAUUAAAAUACACUCAAGUCAAGAGAACCAAACUAACACAAAAAUACAUAAUGUAAAUGAACUUGGGGUAACUAUCAAGUAGAAAUUUUUUUAUAGAGCCAGUGUAUGCAUUAUUUUCCUCGUUAUAAGUGUUCACAUAACUAAGCACGUGAAAGAAUGUAGCGUGCAUGAAAGAGCUGGUGUAUGCAUUAUUUUUCUCACAAUAAGUGGUCACAUAACUAAGCACGUGAAAGAAUAUAGCGUGCAUGAUGAUGUAUAAAACUCGUUACACGUAAGAUUUUUUGAGGUUAAAGAUAAAAUGAACACUUGUCCAGAAACUGAAGGACAAUAUUGCUUUUAACUCAUGUGGAGGAUAACCCAACAAGUUUAUUGGCAUUUACACAUAAGAUGUUCUGGCCUUUCAAUCAAAUAAUAAUAUCUUGUGGAUUAUGGAACAGUCUUGUGAAUUGUAAUUAAUUGAUAAUUUAAUCCAAUAUUACGAGAAUUCCAUAAUGCUAAAAAAAGUAAUUUUCAUUCACAAAACUGUCCAAGAAACCCUCAGAAUAGCAACUUUUAAGACUCAACAGCCUUCCUGGUCAAACGGCUCACCCUAAGUUAUAGGCGACACGUGUUAUGGCCCAAAACCAUGACCAGGAUGAAAUGUGUGCAUGACAUCACACAUGUCGAGCAUUCAGUUGGUCUAAAAUCGUAUAUAAACCAUACCCAAUUGUGAGAUAUUCAUCAUCAGCAAAUCAAAUUUGAGUUAUAACAACUUCAUCUGAAUUUCAAGUGUUUUCAAGAAAACAAAGCAAGAAGAAAAUGGCUGACAACUCUCAGAAGAUGAGCUACCACGCUGGAGAGGCCAAAGGCCAAGCUCAGGUAAUUAGCUCACCUGUAAAUUGUAAUUCUCAAUUUGCUUUUGCUUCUUUCUUCUGUUUUCUUUUAGAUUGAUGUGGGAUGUUUUGUAUUGGAUAAUUUUGGAUUUAACAGGAGAAGGCCAGUGGGAUGAUGGAUAAGGCUAACAAUGCAGCCCAGUCUACCAAGGAGACAAUGCAAAAUGUUGGUCAGAAUGUGCAGGCGAAGGCUCAAGGAGCUGCUGAUACAGUCAAGAAUGCCACUGGCAUGAACAAAUGAAGCUGCUCAUGAUGAUCAUUUUCAUGACUUUUAAUGACUUUAUAGGGUUAAGAUGAUGGCAAACUUUCAUUGAGUUUUAUAGACUUUUAUGUAAUUUUUUUUUCUUUCUUAUCCUUCUUUUGAAAGAAGGAAUUGAAAAUUGCAUAGAAUUCUAAAAUGAUGGAAUUUAGAUCUUCAUCAUUUUCAGUUAUGGCAAUUAAUAAUUUUAGGAUUCGAAUUUAUGUAUAUCGAAUUUUGCAAAUGAAAUUUCAUGGAAAAACGAAUUCCUUCACUCAAUAGAAAUUGUGAAAUGAUGUCUAUUUUGAAUGAAAUUAAACUCAGAAAUAUUGAGUGCUUAACUUUCGUGCUAAAGUAGCCAAACAAUGGAAAUAUCAAAUUCUACACUUCAAUUCCUAACUUUUAGGUAAAUAAUUAAUGGGUAAUAGAAGUAUGUAGUAUGACCAAAAGAAAACGAAUUCUAAUAUUAUCUUUUGAUUAUGAUGAAUUAACUCAUGAGAUCUAUAUAACCAAAAUAAUUAUUCAUGUAGAGAUUGAUGAAUAUCAAUUAUGAAUUCGUUGGGUUUGAGACUAUUUCAUCUCUUAUUUCUAAAAGUCUUUGGGUUUGAGACUAUUUCAUAUAUCUCUUAUUUCUAAAGGUCUCAUUCUAGGCCUGGGUGCCUUAGAGCUUUUUGAAAUAUCCACCAGUUGACCAAACCAUAGUCUGAAAUAUCGAUAAUAUCGAGGAAAUAUCGAGGAUAUUUCGGUUUUUUCGAACCACGGAUAUUUCGGAACAUAUCCAUGUACAUAUCGUAUAAAUAUCGACAAUAUCGACGAUAAUAUCGGAAAAUAUCAAUGUCGAUAAUUUCGCUUACAUUUCAGCAAUAUAUUGUCAAAAUAUCGCUAAAAUAUCGAAAAUAUCGAUGUGAAGGAAAAAAAAAAGGGAAAAAGGGGAGAAAAAAGCACAAAGGGGAUAUGAACCCCUCCCAUUUUACUCCUCCAACACCUUAAACACCAUAUCACUUAUGUUUUUGUGAUAAUAUGCUAAAAUAUUUAUAUUUAUAUGGGUGGUAUGUUAACAAUUACAUGCAAAACUAUUUUGGGGAUUUAUCAUUUGAUGACUACUCUUCACAAUACACUUACUCUACACAUAGAGAUGAUGAAGAUAGUGAAAAAUUUGAACCUCGUAGGAACUCUAUGUGGUACUAAGUCACUCAUGUAUCUUACCAUGCAAUGUAUAAAGUGUAAAAUAUUAUAGUAAAUCAUUAUAUAUAAAUGAUUACGGUGUAUUUAAUCUUUUUUCAUUAAUUAUUACAUAUUUUUUACACUCAUAGUGUUUGCCCGCUUGCUGUAUAAUCAACUUAAAUUAGUUAAAUCCAUCAUGCAAUGCAUUUCCUUCUAAUUUUUUGUGAUAAACUCAUAGAUAAUUGACUAAAUAAACAUUCUCCAAAAUUUCAAUUAAAAUUUCCAAGUUUUUCUUACAAUUUCUGUGAUCUUUAUUCAAUUUUUAUCGAUAUCGAUAAUAUCCCGAUAUUUCCAUCGAAAUUUCCAUAUUUUUGGAUUACCGAUAUUUCCGAUAUCAUCGAUAUUUUAGACCUUGGACCAAACACAUUAAAAUGCACUCAACUCAAGAAACAAGACUCCAUAAAUCAGAAACACAAUAGAACCAAACUAACACAAAAAUACAUAAUGUGAAGGAACUUGGGGUAACUAUCAAGUAGAAAAAUUUAUAUAGAGCUUUUGUAUGCCUUAUUUUCAUCAUAAUAAGUGUUCACAUAACUAAGCACACGAAAGAAUGUAGCGUGUAUGAAAGAGCUAGAGUAUGCAUUAUUUUUCUCAUAAUAAGUGGUCACAUAACUAAGCAUAGGAAAGAAUAUAGCAUGCAUGAUGAUGUAUAAAACUCGUUACAUGUAAGAUUUUUUGUGUUAAAGACAAAAUGCACAAUUUCCUAGAAACUGAAGGAUAAUAUCGCUUUUCACUCAUGUGGAGGAUAACCCAACAAGUUUAUUAGCAUUUACUCAUAAGAUGUUCUGGCCUUUCAAUCAAAUAAAAAUAUCUCGUGGAUUGUGGAAUAGUCUUGUGAAUUGUAAUUAAUUGAUAAUAUAAUCCAAUAUUCCAAGAAUUCCAUAAUGCUGAAAAAAAUAAUUUCCAUCCACAAAACUGUCUAAGAAACCCUCAGAAUAGCAACUUUUAAGGCUCAACAGCCUUCCUGGUCAAAAGGCUCACCCUAAGUUAUUGGGCGACACAUGUUAUGGUCCAAAACCAUGACCAGGAUGAAAUGUGUGCAUGACAUCACACAUGUCGAGCAUUAAGCUAGUCUAAAAUCGUAUAUAAACCAUACCCAAUUGUGAGAGAUUCAUCAUCAGCCAAUCGAAUUUGAGUUAUAACAACUUCAUCGGAAUUUCAAGUGUUUUCAAGAAAACAAAGCAAGAAGAAAAUGGCUGACAACUCUCAAAAGAUGAGCUACCAUGUUGGAGAGGCCAAGGGCCAAGCUCAGGUAAUUAGCUCACCUGUAAAUUGUAAUUCUCCAUUUGUUUUUGCUUCUUUCUUUUUUUUUCUUUUAGAUUAAAGUGGGUUGUUUUGUAUUGGAUAAUUUUGGAUUUAACAGGAAAAGGUCGGUGGGAUGAUGGAUAAGGCUAACAAUGCAGCCCAAUCUACCAAGGAGACAAUGCAAGAUGUUGGUCAGAAUGUGCAGGCGAAGGCUCCAGGAGCUGCUGAUGCAGUCAAGAAUGCCACUGGCAUGAACAAAUGAAGCUGCUCAUGAUGAUUAUUUUCAUGACUUUUAAUGACUUUAUAGAGUUAAGAUGAUGGCAGACUUUCAUUUAGUUUUAUAGACUUUUAUGUCUAUUUUUUUUUUCUUUCUUAUCCUUCUUUUGAAAGAAGGAAUUGAAAAUUGCAUAGAAUUAUAAAAUAAUGGAAUUUAGAUCUUCAUCAUUUUAAGUUAUGGCAAUUAAUAAUUUUAGGGUUCAAAUUUAUGUAUAUCGAAUUUUGCAAAUGAAAAAUGAAAUUUCAGGAUAAAACGAAUUCCUUCACUCAAUAGUGAAAAUGAUGUCUCUUUUGAAUGAAAUUAAACUUGGAAAUAUUGAGUGCUUAACUUUCGUGCUAAAGUAGCCAAACAAUGGAAAUAUCAAAUUCUACUCUUCAAUUCUUAACUUUUAGCUAAAUAAUUAACGUAGGGUAAUAGCAGUAUGUAGUAUGACCAAAAGAAAACGAAUUCUAAUAUUAUCUUUUGAUCAUGAUGAAUUAACUCAUGAGAUCUAUAUAACCAAAGUAAUUAUUCAUGUAGAGAUUGAUGAAUAUCAAUUAUGAAUUCAUUGGGUUUGAGACUAUUUCAUCUCUGAUUUCUAAAGGUCUCAUUCUGGGCCUGGGUGCCUUAGGGCUUUUUGAAAUAUCCACCAGUUGACCAAACACAUUAAAAUGCACUCAAGACAAGAAGCAAGACUCCAUAAAUCAAAAAUACAAGAGAACCAAACUAACACAAAAAUACAGAAUGUGAAGGAACUUGGAGUAACUAUCAAGUAGAAAAAUUUAUAUAGAGCUGGUGUAUGCCUUAUUUUCCUCGUAAUAAGUGUUCACAUAACUAAGCACAUGAAAGAAUGCAGCGUGCAUAAAAGAGCUAGUGUAUGCAUUAUUUUUCUCAUAAUAAGUGGUCACAUAACUAAGCCCAGGAAAGAAUAUAGCGUGCAUGAUGAUGUAUAAAACUCGUUACACAUAAGAUUUUUUGCGGUUAAAGACAAAAUGCACACUUGCCCAUAAACUGAAGGAUAAUAUCGCUUUAAACUCAUGUGGAGGAUAACCCAACAAGUUUAUUAGCAUUUACUCAUAAGAUGUUCUGGCCUUUCAAUCAAAUAAAAAUAUCUCGUGGAUUGUGGAACAGUCUUGUGAAUUGUAAUUAAUUGAUAAUAUAAUCCAAUAUUACAAGAAUUCCAUAAUGCUGAAAAAGUAAUUUCCAUUCACAAAACUAUAUAAGAAACCCUCAGAAUAGCAACUUUUAAGACUCAACAGCCUUCCUGGUCAAAAGGCUCACCCUAAGUUAUUGGGCGACACGUGUUAUGGUCCAAAACCAUGACCAGGAUGAAAUGUGUGCAUGACAUCACACAUGUCGAGCAUUCAUCUAGUCUAAAAUCGUAUAUAAACCAUACCUAAUUGUGAGAGAUUCAUCAUCAUCCAAUCGAAUUUGAGUUAUAACAACUUCAUCUGAAUUUCAAGUGUUUUCAAGAAAACAAAGCAAGAAGAAAAUGGCUGACAACUCUCAAAAGAUGAGUUACCAUGCUGGAGAGGCCAAGGGCCAAGCUCAGGUAAUUAGCUCACCUGUAAAUUGUAAUUCUCCAUUUGUUUUUGCUUCUUUUUUUUUUAGAUUAAAGUGGGAUGUUUUGUAUUGGAUAAUUUUGGAUUUAACAGGAAAAGGCCGGUGGGAUGAUGGAUAAGGCUAACAAUGCAGCCCAAUCUACCAAGGAGACAAUGCAAGAUGUUGGUCAAAAUGUGCAGGCAAAGGCUCAAGGAGCAGCUGAUGCAGUCAAGAAUGCCACUGGCAUGAACAAAUGAAGCUGCUCAUGAUGAGCAUUUUCAUGACUUUUAAUGACUUUAUAGAGUUAAGAUGAUGGCAAACUUUCAUUGAGUUUUAUAGACUUUUAUGUAAUUUUUUUUUCUUUCUUACCCUUCUUUUGAAAGAAGGAACUGAAAAUUUCAUAGAAUUCUAAAAUGAUGGAAUUUAGAUCUCCAUCAUUUUAAGUUACGGCAAUUAAUAAUUUUAGUGUUUGGAUUUAUGUAUAUCGAAUUUUAGAAAUAAAGUUUCACGGAAUAACGAAUUCCUUCACUCAAUAGAAAUUGUGAAAUGACUUCUCUUUUUAUUGAAAGUAAACCCAGAAAUCUUGAGUGCUUGACUUUCGUGCUAAAGUAGCCAAACAAUGAAAAUAUUAAAUUCUACUAUUCAAUUCUUAACUUUUAGCUAAAUAAUUAACGUAUGGUAAUAGAAGUAUGUAGUAUAUGACCAAAAGCAAAUUAAAUUUGAGUUAUAACAACUUCAUCUGAAUUUCAAGUGUUUUCAAGAAAACAAAGCAAGAAGAAAAUGGCUGACAACUCUCAAAAGAUGAGCUACCAUGUUGGAGAGGCCAAGGGUCAAGCUCAAGUAAUUAGCUCACCUGUAAAUUGUAAUUUUCCAUUUUAUUUUUGCUUCUUUUUUUUGAUUUUUUUAGAUUAAUGUGGGAUGUUUUGUAUUGGAUAAUUUUGGAUUUAACAGGAGAAGGCCGGUGGGAUGAUGGAUAAGGCUAACAAUGCAGCCCAAUCUACCAAGGAGACAAUGCAAGAUGUUGGUCAAAAUGUGCAGGCGAAGGCUCAAGGGGCUGCUGAUGCAGUCAAGAAUGCCACUGGCAUGAACAAAUGAAGCUGCUCAUGAUGAUCAUUUUCAUGACUUUUAAUGACUUUGUAGAGUUAAGAUGAUGGCAAACUUUCAUUGAGUUUUAUAGACUUUUAUGUAAUUUUUUCUUUCUUUCUUACCCUUCUUUUGAAAGAAGGAAUUUAAAAUUGCAUAGAAUUCCAAAAUGAUGGAAUUUAGAUCUCCAUCAUUUUAAGUUACGGCAAUUAAUAAUUUUAGUGUUUGGAUUUAUGUAUAUCGAAUUUUAGAAAUAAAGUUUCACGGAAUAACGAAUUCCUUCACUCAAUAGAAAUUGUGAAAUGACUUCUCUUUUUAUUGAAAGUAAACCCAGAAAUCUUGAGUGCUUGACUUUCGUGCUAAAGUAGCCAAACAAUGAAAAUAUUAAAUUCUACUAUUCAAUUCUUAACUUUUAGCUAAAUAAUUAACGUAUGGUAAUAGAAGUAUGUAGUAUAUGACCAAAAGAAAACGAAUUCUGAUAUUAUCUUUUGAUCAUGAUGAAUUAACCCAUGAGAUCUAUAUAACCAAAAUAAUUAUUCAUGUAGAGAUUGAUGAAUAUCAAUUAUGAAUUCGUUGGGUUUGAGACUAUUUCAUCUCUUAUUUCUAAAGGUCUCAUUCUCGGCCUGGGUGCCUUAGAGCUUUUUGAAAUAUCCACCAGUUGACCAAACACAUUAAAAUGCACUCAAGUCAAGAAACAAGACUCCGUAAAUCAGAAAUACAAGAGAACCAAACACGCACAAAAAUACAUAAUGUGAAUGAACUUGGGGUAACUAUCAAGUAGAAAAUUUUAUAUAAAGCCGGUGUAUGCCUUAUUUUCCUCGUAAUAAGUGUUCACAUAACUAAGCACGUGAAAGAAUGUAGCGUGCAUGAAAGAGUUGGUGUAUGCAUUAUUUUUCUCGUAAUAAGUGGUCACAUAACUAAGCACGUGAAAGAAUAUAACGUGCAUGAUGAUGUAUAAAACUCGUUACACGUAAGAUUUUUUGUGGUUAAAGAUAAAAUACUUGUCCAGAAACUUUGGGACAAUAUCGCUUUUAACUCAUGUGGAGGUUAACCCAACAAGUUUAUUAGCAUUUACUCAUUAAUUAGAUGUUCUGGCCUUUCAAUCAAAUAAUAAUAUCUUGUGGCUUAUGGAACAAUCUUGUGAAUUGUAAUUAAUUGAUAAUAUAAUCCAAUAUUACAAGAAUUUCAUAAUGCUGAAAAAAGUAAUUUCCAUUCAAAAAAACUGUCUAAGAAACCCUCAGAAUAGCAACUUGGAAGACUCAACAGCCUUCCUGGUCAGAAGGCUCACCCUAAGUUAUAGGGCGACACGUGUUAUGGUCCAAAACCAUGACCAGGAUGAAAUGUGUGCCUGGCAUCACACAUGUCGAGCGUUCAACUGGUCUAAAAUCGUAUAUAAGCCAUACCCAAUUGUGAGAUAUUCAUCAUUAGCAAACCAAAUUUGAGGUAUAAAACAUCAUUUGAAUUUCAAGUGUUUUCAAGAAAACAAAGCAAGAAGAAAAUGGCUGACAACUCUCAGAAGAUGAGCUACCACGCUGGUGAGGCCAAGGGCCAAGCUCAGGUAAUUAGAUCAUGUGUAAUUCUCCAUUUGUUUUUGCUUAUUUCUUCUACUUUCUUUUAAAUAUUACAUUAUUAUAUGUGAAUGUGCAUUGAGAUUGAUGUGGGGUGUUUUGUAUUGGAUACUUUUGGAUUUAACAGGAGAAGGCUAGUGGGAUGAUGGAUAAGGCUAACAAUGCAGCCCAAUCUACCAAGGAGACAAUGCAAGAUGUUGGUCAGAAUGUGCAGGCGAAGGCUCAAGGAGCUGCUGAUGCAGUCAAGAAUGCAACUGGCAUGAACAAAUGAAGCUGCUCAUGAUGAUCAUUUUCAUGACUUUUAAUGACUUUAUAGAGUUAAGAUGAUGACAAACUUUGUUUGAGUUUUAUAGACUUUUAUGUAAUUUUUUUUUUCUUUCUUACUCUUCUUUUGAACGAAGGAACUGAAAAUUGCAUAAAAUUCUAAAAUGAUUGAAUUUAGAUCCCCAUCAUUUUCAUUUAUGAUAAUUAAUAAUUUCAGUGUUCGGAUUUAUGUAUGUCAAAUUUUGUAAAUGACAUAAAUUUUAGGGAAAAAGGAAUUCUAAUAUCUUUUGACCACGAUGAAUUAACUCAUGAGAUCUAUAUAACCAAAAUAAUUAUUCAUGUAGAGAUUGAUGAAUAAUAUCAAUUACGACUCUUGAGAUUGGGGCCCAAUUCGUUGGGUUUGAGACUUUUUCAUCUUUUAUUUCUAAAGACAUCGUUUUGGGCUUGGGUGCCUUAGUGCUUUUUUAAAUAUCCACAAGUUUACUAAACACACUAAUGACAUGUUUACUAAUCCGUAAUUAGAUUAGGAACAAUUGAAUUGAGGAGAAUUAGAUUCCGGAUUCUUAUUGAAGUUCUUUACUAAACCAUAUGGAUUGAGGAGAAUUGAAUUUCGGAUUUCUAUUGAAAUUGUUUACUAAAUUAUAUGGAAUUGAGAUAAUAGUGGUGCUAAUUACUAAAAUGACCUCGUUGUUUGGUUAAAGUAGAUGGCAAAUUUGAUAUUUUGAAAAUUGAGGAUAUAAUGGGUAACAAAGAUGAAUUCCUAAUAGAUUAGUUCUCCAGGAAUUAGAAUACCACUUCCUACCAAAGAAUUGAGUUUCUCCAAAAUUAGGAAUUCAAUUCCUAAUUUUAUAUGGGCCUCACUUACUUUUUAAUUCUUUGAUGUGAAGUAAACACAGGAAUUCUCCAUAGGUGGAAUUCAAUUCCUAAUUAGUAAACACACCAUAAAAUGCACUCAGGUUAAGAAACAGAAUUCCGAAAAUCAGAGAUUCAAGAGAACCAAACCAACACAAAAAUACAAAAUGUGAAUGAACUUGGGGAAACUAUCAAAUAGAAAAAUUUAUAUAGAGCUGGUGUAUGCACUAUUUUUCUCGUAAUAAGUAUUCACAUAACCAAGCACGUGAAAGAAUGUAACGUGCAUGAAAGAGUUGGUGUAUGCAUUAUUUUUCUCAUAGUAAGUGGUCAAAUAACUAAGCACGUGAAAGAAUAUAGCGUGCAUGAUAACGUAUAAAACUCAUUACAAGUAAGAUUUUUUGCGGUUAAAAGUAAAAUGCAUACUUGUCCAUAAACUUAGGGACAAUAUCGCUUUUAACUCAUGUGGAGGAUAACCCAACAAGUUUAUUAGCAUUUACUCAUAAGAUGUUUUGGUCUUUCUAUCAAAUAACAAUAUCUUGUGAGUCUUGCGAAUUAUAAUUAAUUGAUAAUGUAAUUUUAGGCGUAGUAAUUAAGGAAAUAUAAUCCAAUAUUAUAAGAAUUCCAUAAUGCUGAAAAAAGUAGGUUCCAUAUUCAAAACUGUCUGAACCCUAAGAAUAGCAACUGUCGAUGAAGAUAAGACUCAACAGCCUUGUCCUGGUCCGCAAGGCUCAUCCCAAGUUACAAGGCGACACGUGUUAUGGUCCAAAGCCAUGAAAUGUGUGAACAGCUUCCGCAUGGCAUCACACGUGUCGAGCAUUCAGCUGGUUGAAAAUUCUAUAUAAACCCUACCCAAAUGUGAAAUAUUCAUCAUCAGCAAAUCAAAUUCGAGUUAUAAAAACUACAUCUAAAUUUCAAGUGCUUUCCUCCAGUUUCCAAGAAAACAAAGCGAGAAGAAAAUGGCUUCCAACUCUGAGAAGGUGAGCUACCACGCUGGUGAGGCCAAGGGCCAAGCUGAGGUAAUUUUCUUCACCUAUUAUUCUCCAUUUUUUCCUGCAUUUUUUGUUGUUGAAUAUUACAUAAUUUAUGCGUGAAUGUGCAUUGAGAUUGAUGUAAUUUUUCAUUUAACAGGAGAAGGCGAGUGGGGUGAUGGAUAUGGCAAACAAUGCAGCCCAAUCUGCCAAGGAAACAAUGCAAGCGGCAGGCCAGAAUGUGCAGGCCGCGGCUAUAGGAGCUGCUGAUGCAGUCAAGAAUGCCACUGGCAUGAACAAAAAAUGAAGCUAGCUGCUCAUCAUGAUCUCAAUAUGAGCAUUUGCAGUUUUUUUUCUUUUUUUUUGGGAGCUUUCUAGUAGUUGCUUUUGAUUUCUGUCUUCUAAACAAGGGAGCUCUAAGUCCUCUGGAGUUCUCAUCAUCUGGGUGUGUACUUUCGUUCACACUUGGUUUUAGUUUUUGUUUUUGUUUUCUUUUUCUUUUUGUUCAUGUUUAUCUCCUUUGAACAAGGCAAGUGGGCUCUGCCUAUUGUAGUUCUCACCUAAUUGAAUCAUAAGCUGUUUUUAAUCCCAUCUAUAUGUUCAAGAUUGGUCUUUUGUUUAUGCAGAUGAGCAAAAUCCGACCUAAGAGUUUCUGAAAAUAAAAAACAUAAAAAGAAG
rnacentral:lncRNA from 1 species